UUGCAGGAUCAACCAGGUAGCAUUCCUCACGGACAUCGGGCCGCAAGACGCGUCUCGUCAGUGCGGCGCCGAACGUCGUUCGAACGUGGCGUGUGACGCCAAUUUUUGUGGGCAAACAGGGGUCGGGGACCCCGUGCCCGUAGCGUUUUCCGCAUCCCGAAUAUCGAACGGGAACCCGGGGGCCGCGACGACCGCAUGCGGGCGGGCGUCACGGAACACGGGUCUCGCUUAGGGGUUCACCCGUGGCCGCAACGUGCGAACGGGCAACGUUGGGCGAACGUGGGAAGGAUUGGCCGACACAAUUCCGUCUACGUAGGUAUGCAACACAGGAAACCGACUACAACGGCCAAGGCAACCUGCCCUUGUGCCAACGACUGAGGAGGAACGCACGGAAGGACGUCGCUGCCCAAGCAGGGAUCCAACCAACCCAUACAAGA
rnacentral:misc_RNA from 1 species